rnacentral:rRNA from 1 species
CAAGUCGCCGCGGUAAUACAGAGGGUGCGAGCGUUAAUCGGAUUUACUGGGCGUAAAGCGUGCGUAGGCGGCUUCUUAAGUCGGAUGUGAAAUCCCUGAGCUUAACUUAGGAAUUGCAUUCGAUACUGGGAAGCUAGAGUAUGGGAGAGGAUGGUAGAAUUCCAGGUGUAGCGGUGAAAUGCGUAGAGAUCUGGAGGAAUACCGAUGGCGAAGGCAGCCAUCUGGCCUAAUACUGACGCUGAGGUACGAAAGCAUGGGGAGCAAACAGGAUUAGAUACCCGUGUAGUCCCUGUCUCUUAUU